AGUGAACGCUGGCGGUAGGCCUAACACAUGCAAGUCGAACGGCAGCACAGGAGAGCUUGCUCUCUGGGUGGCGAGUGGCGGACGGGUGAGGAAUACAUCGGAAUCUACUUUUUCGCGGGGGAUAACGUAGGGAAACUUACGCUAAUACCGCAUACGACAUACGGGUGAAAGCAGGGGAUCUGCGGACCUUGCGCGAUUGAAUGAGCCGAUGUCGGAUGAGCUAGUUGGCGGGGUAAAGGCCCACCAAGGCGACGAUCCGUAGCUGGUCUGAGAGGAUGAUCAGCCACACUGGAACUGAGACACGGUCCAGACUCCUAAGGGAGGCAGCAGUGGGGAAUAUUGGACAAUGGGCGCAAGCCUGAUCCAGCCAUACCGCGUGGGUGAAGAAGGCCUUCGGGUUGUAAAGCCCUUUUGUUGGGAAAGAAAUCCAGCUGGCUAAUACCCGGUUGGGAUGACGGUACCCAAAGAAUAAGCACCGGCUAACUUCGUGCCAGCCGCCGCCGUAA
rnacentral:rRNA from 1 species